AUUGAACGCUGGCGGAAUGCUUUACACAUGCGAGUCGAACGGUAGAGGGGGCAACCCCUCGAGAGUGGCGAACGGGUGAGUAAUAUAUCGGAACGUGCCCAGUCGUGGGGGAUAACGUAGCGAAAGUUACGCUAAUACCGCAUACGAUCUAAGGAUGAAAGCGGGGGAUCGCAAGACCUCGCGCGAUUGGAGCGGCCGAUAUCAGAUUCGGUAGUUGGUGGGGUAAAGGCUCAACAAGCCAACGAUCUGUAGCUGGUCUGAGAGGACGACCAGCCACACUGGAACUGAGACACGGUCCAGACUCCUACGGGAGGCAGCAGUGGGGAAUUUUGGACAAUGGACGCAAGUCUGAUCCAGCCAUUCCGCGUGCAGGAUGAAGGCCCUCGGGUUGUAAACUGCUUUUGUACGGAACGAAAAGGUCUCUCUUAAUACGGGGGGCUCAUGACGGUACCGUAAGAAUAAGCACCGGCUAACUACGUGCCAGCCGCCGCCGUAA
rnacentral:rRNA from 1 species